AUCGCUUCUCGGCCUUUUGGCUAAGAUCAAGUGUAGAAUAAAUAUUUGAAAACUUUUAAAAAAUUUGUAUUAGCAUAUAUAGAAUUUUGUAGACCCAAA
ensembl:snRNA LOC120102763 U2 spliceosomal RNA